GGGUGCGAUUAUACCAGUAAUAAUGCACUGCAUUUCAUCAGAACACCAAAGUUAAACUCGCUUGGGUGAGUGUAGUACUAGGGUGGGUGACUUUUGGGAAGUCCUCAUGUUUCUCCAA
rnacentral:rRNA from 1 species